UCAAGAAAAUCUAUCGAAGCCUUCUAGACUUGUGGUGUUUACAGACUGACAGACAUGACCUGCAUGGGGUCAAAUGACGAUGAAGGUCAUUGGAAAGUUGUUGAUCAACUUACGUCGAAGUAUCAAAUGCCUUUCAUUUGGCCGUUGCUGGUUCAUCUUUACCAAGAACCUCCAGUCUUGGGGAACACUUAAGGCAGAUUUAAAGACGACAAACAACGAUUUCUAGGACCAUGAGUAUCGGGACGCAGGCUGUCGUCAUUCUGGCGUGUGUCGUGAGCUUCAUGUGGUUCAUACCCAUGAUCAUACCCUUCAUUUAAGCGAUACAAGUAUAUUUGCGGAGUCAAUGACAUCGACGGAACAAGUCCACAACCCAACCUUUUGGCAUCUCUUCACCGUGUGUCCGAAUGGCUCGUCUGUUGUGCGGCGUUUACAACGGCGUCUACGAAAGAACAAACCACGCUUCAGCAGCUAGCAAGAUUAUCGCCACAAAUGCAAAGAUGUAAACAUUACGCUUACUACUAUUUUGCAGACUUUCCUAAAGACUUCCAGCGCGUUGAAUUAGCAAAAUCCUCUACCCCUUUAUUUGGUGUUACAGCAACGUCAAUUUGAAGCAUGUCAAAAAAUAUUCCAUACAUAUUUUAUAUGUUGAAAAGCUGUACCAAGUUACAACAAGCUAGCAAAGACAUAGAAAAUUACAUGUAUAUGAAUAUUUUUCAAUGCAUUUUCAUUUGACAUAUGUCAAUGUUGGACGAACUUAUGAUAGAUAACGAUUAACGUUACAAAGGGAGUCUAACGCAGGGAAACUGUUUUCGUGUUUUCUUUAGCUUUAUAACAUUUACAGCUGUUUAUUUUUCGCUUCAAUCAGGUCAGUCACACCUGUGACUCAUAUUAUCAAAAUGAUUAAAAAGAUUCAGGAUGUCAUCUGGUUAUAUCACUGUUGUCUUGCCCCAUACCUAUUCAAUCCAUAAUUGAAUGUACUCCAUAUAGUUAUCUAAUCCAUAAUUGAAAUAUUGACACAUGACUGUGACCUCAAUUAUAUAUAGUAGAAUAACGUCUCUUCACGCAUGAAAGAACUGAACUGUCUAGCACCAUAAGAACUUAACGUUAGUCAUCCAUUUUGCAAAACUCCCUUAGAUGUACGUUCUAUCUGUAUAGUUCCAUAGUAAUACCUCUUGUCGACAAUUUAUAAAGACGGAUUCACCACGACGUUGUAUAACCAGGGUUGAUGUGCCUCAAGUGAUUUGGAAACGGAAAAUGACAGAAUGGUUGAUAGAGCUUCAUUAAAACUUCAAUGUAAAAAUUUCAA